rnacentral:rRNA from 1 species
UUGCACGCUGGCGGCAGGCCUCACACCUGCAAGUCGCGCGGAUGAAGGGAGCUUGCUCCUGGAUUCAGCGGCGGACGGGUGAGUAAUGCCUAGGAAUCUGCCUGGUAGUGGGGGAUAACGUCCGGAAACGGGCGCUAAUACCGCAUACGUCCUGAGGGAGAAAGUGGGGGAUCUUCGGACCUCACGCUAUCAGAUGAGCCUAGGUCGGAUUAGCUAGUUGGUGGGGUAAAGGCCUACCAAGGCGACGAUCCGUAACUGGUCUGAGAGGAUGAUCAGUCACACUGGAACUGAGACACGGUCCAGACUCCUACGGGAGGCAGCAGUGGGGAAUAUUGGACAAUGGGCGAAAGCCUGAUCCAGCCAUGCCGCGUGUGUGAAGAAGGUCUUCGGAUUGUAAAGCACUUUAAGUUGGGAGGAAGGGCAGUAAGUUAAUACCUUGCUGUUUUGACGUUACCAACAGAAUAAGCACCGGCUAACUUCGUG